rnacentral:rRNA from 1 species
UACGUAGGUGGCGAGCGUUGUCCGGAUUUACUGGGCGUAAAGAGCGCGCAGGCGGUCGUUCAAGUCGCGCGUGAAAGCCCCCGGCUCAACUGGGGAGGGUCACGCGAUACUGAUCGACUCGAAGGCAGGAGAGGGAGGUGGAAUUCCCGGUGUAGUGGUGAAAUGCGUAGAUAUCGGGAGGAACACCAGUGGCGAAGGCGACUUCCUGGCCUGUUCUUGACGCUGAGGCGCGAAAGCUAGGGGAGCAAACGGG